CUGCACUGCUCAGUGACCAGCUGGCCUUUCCCUGACCUCCUUGGUCUCAUUGUAGUGCAAGAGAAACUCCUCCUAGCAGAAGGGCCAGGCUCUCGCCAUGGUCUGUCCCUUUCAAAAGCUGGGUACAACC
rnacentral:snoRNA from 1 species